rnacentral:RNase_P_RNA from 1 species
UGGACAGGUCGGAUGAUCGCUGCGUCCGCUUUAUAUAAAUAUAAAGCGGACGAAGAGGAAAGUCCGGGCUCCGUAGGGUAGCGUAAUGGGUAACACCCAUCCUUCUGGUUUAAAUAUCGGAAGAGGAUCAGAGCAACAGAGACGAGUCUUCCGCCAUAGGCGGAAGGGUGAAACGGGCAAUCUCUACGCGGAGCAAGACCGAAUAGGAGAAGAGCCCCCGAAAACAUGGGCGUACCUGUCGGUUAAUAUACCGGCAGGUAACGAAGCGACCCGCUUCGUUUUUCAUUCUCGGGUAGGUUGCUUGAUCCCGCUGGCAACAGCGGGACUAGAUGGAUGAUCAUCAAAGGCGCAUGAGAGUGCGUCUUUACAGAACCCGGCUUAUAGACCUGUCUACGCU